CUUAUCUCCAUAAUGUAACACUACCAUUUUAUAAAAAAAAGAAAAAAAACAUAAAUAUAACUAUUUGACUAUUUGUCCAAGUUCUUCUAUUAAACAUUGCCGUUUUACAUUAAAAUGGAAAAAAAAUUAAGAUUUAAACAUCUAUCUUAAAAUAUAAAAUAUAAAUAUUAACUAAAUAUAAAGUAUAAGAAAGAGAAAUACUCAAUAUAUAGAAAAAUAAAUAAGAUUAACAGGUUGACCGUUUAAGAAACAAUACUGAAUGGUUAAGAGGAAUAAAGAGAAGUGGUGUUUAAGAAACAAUGAAAACAUACUCAUGUGAUUGAAUAUGAAUCAGAAGACGCCUCGCCUUUGCUAUCUCCACUUCGUCAAGAACGGGGGCCUCAAUGAUACUC
rnacentral:lncRNA from 1 species